UACAGAGGGGGCAAGCGUUAUUCGGAAUUAUUGGGCGUAAAGGGCGCGUAGGCGGCCUGGCAAGUGGAAGGUGAAAUCCCUCGGCUUAACCGAGGAACUGCCCUCCAAACUGCUUGGCUUGAGUCCGGGAGAGGUGAGUGGAAUUCCCAGUGUAGCGGUGAAAUGCGCAGAUAUCAGGAGGAACACCGGUGGCGAAGGCGGGUCUCUGGGCCGAUAUUGACGUGAGGAGCGAAAGCGUGGGGAGCGAACAGG
rnacentral:rRNA from 1 species